GACGUAGGGCGCGAGCGUUGUCCGGAUUUAUUGGGCGUAAAGAGCUCGUAGGCGGCUUGUUGCGUCGACCGUGAAAACCCGCGGCUUAACUGCGGGCUUGCGGUCGAUACGGGCGGGCUGGAGUUCGGUAGGGGAGACUGGAAUUCCUGGUGUAGCGGUGAAAUGCGCAGAUAUCAGGAAGAACACCCGUGGCGAAGGCGGCUCUCUGGUACGUGACUGACGCUGAGACGCGAAAGCGUGGGGAGCAAACAGG
rnacentral:rRNA from 1 species